GUGUGACAUCCCAAAAAUAUCAUAUUCACAUAUAAUAUAAUAGGAUUCAGCUAUUACAAUAUGUGAAAGCAGUUGAGAGAUAAAGAUGACAGUAUUUAAAUAUUUAUACAGUCAUCCGAAAUUUAGUGGAAAUUAAAACAAAAUAAAACUUGAGUACAAGUUCCCCAAAGUUCUCCAAAAUACAAAAUAAACUAAAGAUCGAAGGAUGCCUAGAGAAUGUUUCCAAAAAUUAACAAGCUAUUGAAAUAAGAACUAAUAAACGCCCUAAGUACUAGGGGCUGGAUCUUCCUCAGUCUCCCACGCCUGCUCCAAGGGUACCUCAUCACCUACUGCUCACAUCCAAAGGAUUAGAUGAUCAUCGCAAGGGGGAAGGCAAACACAUACAAACAUGCAAGUGCAAGGGUGAGCUAGGUCUCAAACAAUCAUACAAUUCAUUGCAAGAACGUUCAUACACACUUAAACAUAUAAGUCAUCAUAAACAUAAACAUUGAUUUCACAAAACUCACUAAAGCAAACAUCAUGUCAUGUUAAGACUCCUAGACACGUCUGGACAUAGAAUGUAUAUAGAGCUGGGGCGGGUUGUGCACUUGUGAUGGCCCUACUGCUUUGCAAAGCCAUUGCCGAGGGGUUCUACCCGACCAUACACAAGGCUAGUCCGUUACCGCAGUAUAGGCCUAUAGUGAAAGCGCCUACCCUAGGACCUCCCACUACUCUCACCACACGCGUCAAUCCUCUCUAAGUGAGAAUGAAAGACCGUUAGAGUGUUAGGGAUAACCCCCCAUAGUGGAAGCCUCUUACAUACAUUCAAUACACUAAUUGAUCCCACCGAGAGAUCUUAAUUUCGCAACCGAAUCCAACCAAUCCACUUACUUGAUAAUUUUCCAAGUCAUAUAAAUCAUACACACCUUAAUUUGCCACAAACAAUUAGAUAAACCAACCAACCACAAGCUCUAAGCAAUAAACCGAACACUAGUAGCAGUGGCCGAACCAUUGGGAUUGAAUUGGGUACCAUUAACAGGCACCCUGGCCAGACCGAACGGUUACGGGAUGGAACAAUCCUUCCCUGACCGAAAGUAUAUCUGAUCGAACAGUCAUGCGAAAGAACAACUUACCCUAACCAUAUUUGACCGAACGGUCAUGAGAAGGAAUAACCUUCUCUGACCCAGAGUAUCUAACCGAACGGUCAUGAGAAGGAAUCACCUUCCCUGACCCAGAACCUACCAAACCGGACGGUUUGAGAAAGAAACCUCAUUCUCUGACUAAGACCCACCAGACCGAACGGUUUAAGAAGGAAACCUCCUUCUCUAACCAAAACUCACCAGACCGAACGGUUGAGAAGGAAACUUCCUUCUCUAACGAAGAUUCACCAGACCGAACGGUUUGAGAAGGAAACCUCCUUCUCUAACCAAGACUCAGACCGGACGGUCAAGAGAAAGAAAUACCUUCUCUGACCGAAAGCACACCUGCCAGACCGAACGGUCAAGAGAAGAAAGGACCUUCUCACGCUGACUUGCAGUGCCAAACCGAACGGUCAAGAGAAGGGUGAACCUUCUCUGACCAGGGUUCCAUGACCGGACGGUUCGAGAAGGAAACCUCCUUCUCUCACCAAGGCUCCAUGACCGAACGGUCAAGAGAAGGGGGAACCUUCUCUGACCAAGACCUCCAAACCGGACGGUCAAGGGGAAGAGUCAUCCUUCCCUGACCAGGCCUACAAAACCGAACGGUCAGGAGAAGGGAGAACCUUCUCUGACCAAGGCCUUCCAAACCGGACGGCCAAACUCUGCAGAAUUAUGCAGAACUCGAUAGAACCAGCUAAGACCAUUUUCAACCAAUUUUGCCAACUUCUAACACUCCUGAUCUUUGUUUUAGACAUAAUUAAACUUACCUAAGUGAUUCUAAACAUUUCUAACACAUUUCUAAAGUGAUUUAAGCUUCAUUUCAACUCUAAAACACUCAUUUGCCCAACUGAGGGACCCAAAACCCAAUCUUACCAUUUUACACCCAUUUUGGCUAAUUUAGUGACUCAAACAAGUCACAAUACACUCAGUGAAACUGUCUCAACAGUCCACAAACACAACAAACCCCAUAUACUCAAAAUCACUACCUCACUUCCCUUAAAAUGGCCAAAAAGUGACUCUAAAGCACUAGGUUUUCUUCCAAACACUACCACAAUAGAUUUCAAUCAUCAUCACAGUCCCAAUCAUACAUAAUUCAACAUACCAAGGGGUUCCAAACAGUCCAAAAUCAUCAAUCAUCAAUUCUACAUAACAUACCCAUUUCCAUACAUGAAUUUCAAACCAAUUCAACCAAUUUCAUGCUUCCAACAACAUACAGCUUUAAAAUUUAUCAUACAUUCACAACAUACUAUAAAAAUGGAAAGAAAGCUAGCUCCCCUUACCUCUAGGAUGCACGGCCAACUCAAGGAAUGAUCAUAGACCAAGUACUUUGAACCCAAAGUGUGAGAAUCACCUAAAAUCAUCAAUUGAUGAUGGAGAACGAAUUUUAGCAUUAGGUUGAAGUUAGAUUGUGGAAGGAAACGAAAUGGGUUGCAUGAAAUAAGAAUCUCAUGCUUGAAACCCUAGGGCAAAGAAGGAAAGAGGGCUUUCUUACCGGUUGGAUGAAACGGAAAAUCGAUCGGUAGAAACUUAGCUCUUGGAGUCCUGAAUGUUUAGGUAGCUUCAAUUUGAGAAACUAACGGUUAGAAUCUGAGUUGAGAUGGAAGGAGUGGCACGGCAAAGAAGGAGAGAAACGUAGAAGGAGAUGCUUGUUGUCUUAGAAAA
rnacentral:lncRNA from 1 species